rnacentral:rRNA from 1 species
UACGUAGGGGGCAAACGUUGUCCGGAUUUAUUGGGCGUAAAGCGCGUGUAGGCGGCUUGACAAGUCUGCUGUGAAAACUCGAGGCUCAACCUCGAGCUGUCGGUGGAAACUGUCUGGCUAGAGUCCGGAAGAGGAGAGUGGAAUUCCUGGUGUAGCGGUGAAAUGCGCAGAUAUCAGGAAGAACACCUAUGGCGAAGGCAGCUCUCUGGGACGGUACUGACGCUGAGACGCGAAAGCGUGGGGAGCGAACAGG